rnacentral:rRNA from 1 species
GAUGAACGCUGGCGGUAUGCUUAACACAUGCAAGUCGAACGGACGCUUCGGAGUUAGUGGCGGACGGGUGAGGAACGCGUGGGAAGCUGGCGUUGGGUUCGGGACAACCACUGGAAACGGUGGCUAAUACAGGAUGUGCCGAGAGGAAAAAGAGUAAGUGCCUGAAGAUGAGCUCGCGUCUGAUUAGCUAGUUGGUGAGGUAAAGGCUCACCAAGGCAGCGAUCAGUAGCUGGUUUGAGAGGAUGACCAGCCACACUGGGUCUGAGACACAGCCGAGACUCCUACGGGAGGCUGCAGUGAGGCAUUUUCCGCAAUGGGCGAAUGCCUGACGGAGCAGUACCGCGUGUGGGAAGAAGGCUCUUGGGUUGUAAACCUCUUUUCUUAGGGAAGAACAAAAUGACGGUACCUAAGGAAUCAGCAUCGGCUAACUCCGUG